rnacentral:rRNA from 1 species
UUUAAACCCAACAGCACCCGUUUAUUUUCAUCCUCACAUAAGUUAGGUUAUGCCUGUUUGGUUUUAGGUUGGGGUGACCACGGAGUAUAAAACAACCUCCAUGAAAAAAGGACCAAAAAUCCUUAUAGAGAAAGACAUUUCUAAAAUUAAUAAAUUAAUUUUUAAUGAUCCGAUAUUCGAUCAACGAACCAAGUUACCCUGGGGAUAACAGCGCAAUCCACUUCAAGAGCUCCUAUCGACAAGUGGGUUUACGACCUCGAUGUUGGAUCAGGGUAUCCUAGUGGUGCAGCAGCUACUAACGGUUCGUUUGUUCAACGAUUAAAACCCU